ACAGAGGGUGCAAGCGUUAAUCGGAAUUACUGGGCGUAAAGCGUGCGCAGACGGUUGCGUAAGUCAGAUGUGAAAGCCCCGGGCUCAACCUGGGAAUUGCAUUUGAGACUGCGUAGCUAGGGUGCGGAAGAGGGAAGCGGAAUUUCCGGUGUAGCGGUGAAAUGCGUAGAUAUCGGAAGGAACACCAGUGGCGAAAGCGGCGCACUGGACCACAACUGACGCUGAGGCGCGAAAGCUAGGGGAGCAAACAGGA
rnacentral:rRNA from 1 species